UGGGGAAUAUUGGACAAUGGGCGAAAGCCUGAUCCAGCAAUGCCGCGUGAGUGAUGAAGGCCUUAGGGUUGUAAAGCUCUUUUACCAGGGAUGAUAAUGACAGUACCUGGAGAAUAAGCUCCGGCUAACUCCGUGCCAGCAGCCGCGGUAAUACGGAGGGAGCUAGCGUUAUUCGGAAUUACUGGGCGUAAAGCGUACGUAGGCGGUUAUUCAAGUCAGAGGUGAAAGCCCGGGGCUCAACCCCGGAACUGCCUUUGAAACUAGAUAACUAGAGUCUUGGAGAGGUUAGUGGAAUUCCGAGUGUAGAGGUGAAAUUCGUAGAUAUUCGGAAGAACACCAGUGGCGAAGGCGACUAACUGGACAAGUACUGACGCUGAGGUACGAAAGCGUGGGGAGCAAACA
rnacentral:rRNA from 1 species